AUUAUAAGGUAGCAAUAUUUUGUAGUCGGAGCGGCGCAAGGGUGCGUAACACGUGGGUAAUCUGCCAUGAAGUUUGGGAUAACUUGCUGAAAGGCGAGCUAAUACCGGAUGUGACAGUUGGAAGGCAUCUUCCGAUUUUCAAAGUUGGGGACCGUAAGGCCUGACGCUUCAUGAUGAGCCCGCGGCCUAUCAGCUAGUUGGUGAGGUAACGGCUCACCAAGGCUAUGACGGGUAGCUGGUCUGAGAGGACGACCAGCCACACUGGAACUGAGACACGGUCCAGACACCUACGGGUGGCAGCAGUCGAGAAUUUUUCACAAUGGGCGCAAGCCUGAUGGAGCGACGCCGCGUGGGGGAUGAAUGGCUUCGGCCCGUAAACCCCUGUCAUUUGCGAUCAAACCUUGUUAUUUAAAAGAUGACGAGCUGAUAGUAGCGAAAGAGGAAGGGACGGCUAACUCUGUGCCAGCAGCCGCGGUAAUACAGAGGUCCCAAGCGUUGUUCGGAUUCACUGGGCGUAAAGGGUGCGUAGGUGGUGAGGUAAGUCGGAUGUGAAAGCUCGGAGCUCAACUCCGAAAUGGCAUUGGAAACUACCUUGCUCGAGGGAUGGAGGGGGGACUGGAAUUCUCGGUGUAGCAGUGAAAUGCGUAGAUAUCGAGAGGAACACCAGUGGCGAAGGCGAGUCCCUGGACAUCUCCUGACACUGAGGCACGAAAGCUAGGGGAGCAAACAGGAUUAGAUACCCUGGUAGUCCUAACCGUAAACGGUGCAUGUUUGCUGUAAAAGGAAUC
rnacentral:rRNA from 1 species